rnacentral:rRNA from 1 species
GACGAACGCUGGCGGCGUGCCUAAUACAUGCAAGUAGGACGCAGUUGCGAACGGGUGAGUAACGCGUAGGUAACUACCUAUUAGAGGGGGAUAACUAUUGGAAACGAUAGCUAAUACCGCAUACUAGUAGAUGGACCUGCGUUGUAUUAGCUAGUAGGUAGGGUAAUGGCCUACCUAGGCAACGAUACAUAGCCGACGGGGGAGGGUGGUCGGCCAAACGGGGACUGGGACACGGGCCAGAGUCCGACGGGGGGCAGCAGUAGGGAAUCUGCGGCAAUGGGGGGAAGCCUGACCGAGCAACGCCGCGUGAGUGAAGAAGGUUGUCGGAUAGGAAAGCUCUGUUGUUAAGGAAGCGGUACUUAACCAGAAAGGGACGGCUAACUACGUGCCAGCCGCCGCGGUAAUUC